rnacentral:rRNA from 1 species
UCUAAUCUGCCCACUGAUAUAAUAUUAAAGGGGUGCAGUAUUUUGAGUGUACAAAGGUAGCAUAAUCAUUAGUCUUUUAAUUGAAGACUUGUAUGAAUGAUUGGAUGAAAUAUAAACUGUCUCUAAUAUUAUUAGUUAGAAUUUAAUUUUUUUAUUAAAAAGUAAAAAUAAAUUUAAAAGACGAGAAGACCCUAUAGAGUUUUAUAAUUAAUUUAAUUGAAAUUAUUUAUAAAGAUAAUUUUAAAUUAAUAAAUUAAAAUUAAGUUAAUUAUUUUGUUGGGGUGAUAAAAAAAUAAAAAUAACUUUUUUUAAUAAAUAUAUAUAUAUAUAUAUAUAUAUAUAUAUAUUGUAAACAAAAAUAAAUGAUUUUUUGAUCCAGAAUUUUUGAUUAUAAGAAAAAAUUACCUUAGGGAUAACAGCGUAAUUUUUUUUUUUAGUUCAAAUAAGAAAAAGAGUUUGCGACCUCGAUGUUGGAUUAAGGAAAAAUUUAAAUGCAAAAGUUUAAAAUUUUG